rnacentral:rRNA from 1 species
ACGGCCUACCAAAGCGACGAUCAGUAGCCGACCUGAGAGGGUGACCGGCCACAUUGGGACUGAGACACGGCCCAAACUCCUACGGGAGGCAGCAUG